rnacentral:rRNA from 1 species
UACGUAGGUGGCAAGCGUUGUCCGGAUUUACUGGGCGUAAAGAGCGCGCAGGCGGUCGUUCAAGUCGCGUGUGAAAGCCCCCGGCUCAACUGGGGAGGGUCACGCGAUACUGAUCGACUGGAAGGCAGGAGAGGGUAGUGGAAUUCCCGGUGUAGUGGUGAAAUGCGCAGAUAUCGGGAGGAACACCAAUGGCGAAGGCAGCUCGCUGGGACGGUACUGACGCUGAGACGCGAAAGCGUGGGGAGCAAACAGG